rnacentral:rRNA from 1 species
AUGGCUCGGAAGGGCUGGUCAGUAGCUGACUCAAACGCUAGGUGUGAUCUCUGCCCCGCCCUUGAAUCGGUUGAUCACUUGUUGCUUCGAUGCCGUCCGGUUAACGCCCUCUGGCAUAGGCUUCUGUUGGGUCCUUUGGCCCUUCACUCUCCUGAUAUCCAGUCUUUUGUUUGUCAGGCGGUGGAUCAGCUUGCUUUCAAGCAUAAAUGGAAUGUUACUUUUGCGGCUUGUGUUGUCACCGUCUGGCAAGCUAGGAACGAUCGACUUUCAACAACAAGUGCUGGACGGAGUCUUACAUUAGGUUCCAUGCAGCUGAUUUGA